CAUAGGUUUGGUCCUGGCCUUUCCAUUAGUUAUCAGUAAACUUACACAUGCAAGAAUCCCCGCCCCUGUGAAAAUGCCCUCUAGGCCGUUUAGCGGCAAGAGGAGCUGGUAUCAAGCACACUAAAAGUAGCUCACAACACCUUGCUCAGCCACACCCCCACGGGAGACAGCAGUGAUAAAAAUUAAGCAAUAAACGAAAGUCUGACUAAGUUAUGCAUCUAAGGACUGGUAAAUUUCGUGCCAGCCACCGCGGUCAUACGAUUGGGCCAAACUAAUGGAUAUUCGGCGUAAAGAGUGUUUUAGAAUUUAAUACUAAAUAAAGCCAAACCUUAACUAAACUGUAAAAAGCCUUAGUUACCGUAAGAUAAACCAUGAAAAUAGCUUUAAAAGAUCUGACAACACUAUAGCUGAGACCCAAACUGGGAUUAGAUACCCCACUAUGCUCAGCCCUAAACAUAAAAAUUUAUUAACAAAAAUUUUCGCCAGAGUACUACCAGCAAUAGCUAAAAACUCAAAGGACUUGGCGGUGCCUUAUAUCCUUCUAGAGGAGCCUGUUCUGUAAUCGAUAAACCCCGAUAAACCUCACCAGUCCUUGCCAAAUCAGCCUAUAUACCGCCAUCUUCAGCAAACCCUAAAAAGGAAACAUAGUAAGCAUAAUCAUCAACAUAAAAACGUUAGGUCAAGGUGUAGCCUAUGGAUUGGAAAGAAAUGGGCUACAUUCCUUGAUUCAAGGAAUUAUAGACGAAAGCUCUUGUGAAAUCAAGAAUUAAAGGUGGAUUUAGCAGUAAAUUAAGAAUAGAGUGCUUAAUUGAAUAAGGCCAUGAGGCACGCACACACCGCCCGUCACCCUCCUCAAGCAAAACCAUUACAUUCUUAUAUAAACCCAAAUACUAAAUUGCAAGAGGAGAUAA
rnacentral:ncRNA from 1 species